UUGCUUCCCUGAGAAAGGUUAGUCUUCGAUUCUUCUUUCUUGUCUUGUCGUGUUGUUAUAGUUAUAGCAGUAGUAAUUUUGAUUAUUGCAUUGUAUGUUUAGAAUUAUUGUUGUAGAGGCUAUGAAGGCUAUAGGUUUUUAUUAUGAUGAAAAAUAUCGUUGUGCUAUCUCUCCGCCAAAUUUCAUCUUUUUUCUCUUGUGGAUGUAUGUUAGCUCUUAGUCCUUCCUCAAUAUAAGUGAAAGUGAUAGUUGUAGAAAGUGUUUGAAAGUCAUAAGUCUUCUUUGUUCAGCUCUUGGACUUAAUAUCUUGUUGGUUAGAUCAUUGUUUUGCCUCAUGAUUCUUGUUUUGGUUCUGAAGAUUCACUAUUUAUCUUAAUCUGUGAUUUCCUUUAGUGCCUCUUUUUGUGAUUUUCUAUUGAGGUUCAACGAUUCCUACUAAAUCCCUAACUUAUUUAUACGUGUUCUGCGUAUCUUUUUUAUUCACUCUUUGACAUAAGUGUUUCUGUUGGGCCUUUCUCAUUUUUUGUUCUAGCUUAAGGGUGUGGCUUGUACUACUUCUAUCUACUAUUUUUUAAGAAAAAAGCUUAAUCCGUCUUGUCCAGCUUAACUUCCUACUUGUUUUAGCUUGAAUACUAAUUCUUCAUCUUGGAAACUUUGAUUUUGAUACCUGUGUUCUAUUUUAAAUUCGUGUCUGUUAGGGGUUCUUGUUUGAGGCCUUUGGGAAAAUGUAUUGGCUUGUUGAAGAAUAUUAGGUAUUUAAGUAUCUCUGUUGAAGUAGAAUAUCCUAAUUUUUGUUGUCAUUACGCUAUGUGUAAUUUGUGCUUAAGCUAAGGAUUCCCAAGAAUCUUUCUUGCUCGAUAACAUCAAGAAGAGAGGGGUGAAGUUAUAUUUUUCUUACUCCUAAAAACAAAGUUAGGAGACGGAAUACAUCAUCACAACUGUUUGCUUCUAUCCUCAAGUGCCCACUAUCAGGGAUUUUUUUAUUUUUAAUAUUUGAAAAUAUUUAAUUGUUUUCCCUAGUCUAAUAACUAUAUAUUUUGUGGUCGGGUGCGACAGAUAUGUUAUAAUUGGUCCAGCUGUUGUUUUGUUUAGCUGAAAAGCUCAAAGUUGAAAGGAGAAGUUGUCUUUUUGAAAUGGCUAGUUUUAUAUCUCUUUCUCUGAUUCAUGAGUGGAGUAUUGAACAACUUACUUGCUCUCAGUGUGUACUAUUACUUCUCUUCUAUUAGGUAUAUGCUCUAUUCUAGUUUCAUUGCUUUCAUCAAGUGCUCGUCUCUCAUGUAUUCUUAGAGUUAUUUAUUUUAAAUCAAGCAUGUUACUAGUAUCGAUUAGGCAAAUUGCAAUGUAGACCUCUGUCUUCAUUUUAUGAAUUAAGUGGUUUAGUUAAAUGGGCCUGUUAUCCCCCCAAAUCUUAUAUGAUACUCAUUUAUUCCAGAUUGUUUUAUCUGUUGAAUCCAAGUGUUUUUUGCUUUGUUAGCAAAAAUUAUACGUUUUCAUUUAACAGGUCAGGUCAUAAGUUACCUCUUACUUUCCUUCUUUUCAUUUUUCAUUUUCUAUGAAAGCAUUGGUUGUAUUGUUCUUAUUUUUGUUCAUUUCUUUGCUAUGACUUAGUCUGGAACUAUCUUUUUGAAAUUUGUCUUGAAACAGUAAAGUUUAUAGUUUCCUACAAAGACUGUUUUAAUCGUGAAAUUUUAACGAGUUUAUGAGGUGCUUUCAUGCAAUUUUGGUAUUAAACAUUGUAUUUCAAGUCAAGUACGAACAUAAACGCCUAAUUUCCUAUAAAGGUCGAAUUGAUUCACAAUUUUUUUUGAUGGCUUGAAUGAUGAAUUGUUUAGUUGACUUCCAUGUCUACUUUUAUCUCUCAUUCCUUUCCCAUAUUUCUUCUUUUCAAGUUUUCUGAAAAUGCCUUGUUAAGAUAUGAAUACUCCGAGUUAGUAUUGCGGAUUAGUAAGAAGAUCAAAUCUUGUUUUGAUUACUUGAAAUAUGAAAGCCAAUCCCAUGUGUAGUGUGAAUAUGUUCAAGAUUAUAUAUAGUUUGAAUCAGUUGUGUUUUGUAUUUAUUUUUCGAAUUAACUACUCUCAUUUCGAAUAAAAUUCUAAUCCUCCUCUUUUCUUUGGCGUGAAAAAUCUGUUUGGGGUUCGAGUGGACUUUCCUUUUCUUUGCAUUCAUAAUAGGCAAAUGGGGCCAUCUCUUCGAGUCAACUUCAAGCUAAGUCCAAAAGUUUGUCCUAUGGAGUACCGUAAUAAGGAUAUAGAAGAAGAUAAUGGGUCCAAGCCCAUUGACAUAGCUGCUAGGAUUUGGAGACUUGAAAAGUCUCAUUCUUCAUUAUUUUAUUUAUUUAGUAUUGCUUUACUUGUCUUUAUUCAUUUAGUUACUUAUUUAUUCAUUCAUUCAGGGCCUCAAAGCUAAAGUGGUAAAUUAAUACAGAGAAAGCAGAUUUUGGGCCAAAGGGGUCCGAAAAGAUAGUUUAGGACAGGUUAUAGGCCAAAAGCCUAAUAUUUAAAUUAGGACAGGUGAAAAUGAGCUAAAAGCCCAAAUGAAUAGUUAAGGACAGAGGUAUUUGGGCCAAAAGCCCAAUUAUAUUAGUACAGGAUUGAUGGAUUUUGGCUUACAAGCCUGACUUAUAAUUCUUCCCGUUCCCCUUUAUGUGUUAUUUGAUAUUAGUUUUCUUAGAACUAGUUAAAUUCCCCAUUAAGUCGUCCAAAAUUAAUUUUGCACAAAUUUUUCUCUUAAUCAAUUUUUUUAUAAAAUAAUACCUAUUUAAAUUUAGACAAAGAUGUUGUUUUCAAAUAGUCCGGAUAACCGCAAGUUAAUAGAUACUCUUGGUUCCUUAACCACCUUCCAAGAGUAUUAAUAGGAACCACUUACUCGGAAUUUCAAACUUAAAUAAUUUUUUUCUACUUUGAAUCAUUUAAGUAAUUUCCAAAGGUUUUUUCUUAAUGUUUCUAAAUAAAUUAAGUGGAGACUCUAUUCUUGAGUUUAAAAACUUUUUGAAAGCAAAAAACUCAAAAGUUAUUUCUCCGCAAAACAAAAAUAGCGUCUCUGUUGGGGAGAUUAAGUAGGUUCUAACCAAAUAUUUGAAUUGGCUUCGUUGACUAACUAUUGCAAUUUUUAAACUGCUUAUGCACUUAUAUUUUUAAUUUCUACGAAAUUAAGCUAUUAUAUUUCAUGGCAUAGUUUCCACUCGAAAUAUAUAAAUUGUUUGGGGUUUCGUUGAUGUUCAGGGCCCUAUUGUUCAAUUCUAAAGUAAGUGUUGGGAAUACGACGGUUUAUUAGCAUGUUAGGCGUCUGAUGGCUAUUCAUAUUUCCAAACCCAAGUCGUCCUCCAGGGACCCUGGUCCAAAUCCACUCUAGACACCCAGGAUAGAGCGAAACCAAAGCCACUAGAACUUGAAUCUAAACACGAAGAAGUAAAGAUAGAAGCAUAGGAUAACCAAGAUAGGAAGACAGACACAAAAUUGAUAAUGCAAGGGGAAUCGAAGGUUAUUUCAAACCCUAAAACCUCCCUUAAUGGAUUACCAAUUACCACCUAACUCUUACGUCACCGCAAAGGGGAUUAGAUCUUCCUUACAACCAACGUUUCUAGUCAAGGCUCAAUAUUGACUUUUCCAAGUACUCAUCACUCCCAAUGGACUUUCCAUGAAUACAUCAUGAUAAAUAGUCAACAAAAACUAAAGAAGAAAGACCUAAAUCUAUCUAUUUAUAGUCAAAUAAAAGGCCUAAAAGUCACCCAUUAGCAAAAACAAAAAAUAACCUCAAGGGUGAUUUUCAAUUGAUGACUUCAUCACUAGUCGCCACUGUAGUCGUCAACCAAGUGAUAAGUCAUUGCUUUAGUCAUAACCCUUAACAUAAUGUCAUCUUCAGUGACAAUUCAUCACCUAAGUUAUCAGAAAGGUGAUAAGUCAUCACUUAAGUCAUCUGCCUUAAUAGAAUGUAAUUUUCAGCUUGAUAACUCGUCAGUGAAGUCGUCAACAACGUGAUAACUUAUCAACCAAGCUGUCACUUCUAGGAAGAAUGUUAGUUUUUUUAUCUUUUUAUCCCAAUAAAUUAACCAUACAUGAGAUUGUUGGUUUAGGAGCUCAAAGAAGGUCCUCCAAGUGUAUUCUUGAAUUGUUUGGUUUAUCAUGACUCGGACCUCUUUGUGUUGUCCUCGAAUGAUGUGUUCAAAAAUGUUCGUGGCCAUUUGGCUUGCAUCAUCCUCCCCUUCUUGAAAAGGAUUUGACCUUGAAUCUAUUCCUUGAAAAAUCAAAGGAAGGACAAACAAACACAAAAUCAUCAUGGAAUGAGGGUUAUGGUUAGCACACAAAUCACAUCAUCAUGCCAAGGUUGAACAUAUUUAAUAUAUAUCCAAGUAUCCUUCAUGUUAAACAUUAGAAGCUCGUUGAAAAAUACACAAAGAAGUUGAUUAUGAACAUCAUCAAGAUAUAAGGAAACAAUAAAGGUCUUAAUGACAUCAAUUAUUCCAAAAGGUAGAACUACGUAUACCUUAUGAGCCAUAGGACACAAUUGCUUCAUUAUUUCUUCAACAGACCACACCAAGGGUGGUGCCUCAAUGGCUUCUAAAGUUCACAAGAUCCAUAUAGUAUUGUGACACAAACAAGUGGACAAACCAACAAUUUUCCUACCUCGACAUAAAAAAUCCAAGACUAGCAUGGAUGUCGUCAUAUGGAAAAAAGUAGUAUAGAAAAGAAUCAAGUGUAAAGGCAUCAUCCAAGGUGCUUGUAAUACCCAAAAAUCCAAAUCAAUAUUAAAAACAUUCUUCAAGAUCAUGGAAAAUAAAUUAUAGUGAUUUGGUAGUUUUAUUAGUGAGUUUGAUGUAUAUUAAGGCCUCAAAUAACUCCUAGUUAUUAAAUAAAUCAAAAUAUCUCUUACUGAUUGAGUUCUUGAGAAGGAUGUCGCCAUAGUGAACUUCAAAUGAGAAUAUGUUUUGUUUUACUAAAAAAAUUUUAUGACAUAGCCCACCAACGGUUAGAUAAUUGAAUUAUCUUUUCAACGAUAGCAAUUUUUUCUUAAUCUGAUUUCUGAUUAAAACUUUAUGCUUGUUUUACCAGAGAGCUGUCCUACUGUCGAAGUGCGAUGGCCAGGUUAACGGUCAUCAAGCCAGGCCGUCAACUUCAGGAAGUGAGCUCAUUUUCUACCCAUAAACUGAUUUCUUGAGUGACGGUCAAUCACCAGAGUGACGGUCGGUCACCCAAACCAUCAACCAAGCCCGCUCAAUGAAGGAUUGACAUUUUUAAUGAGGUCUAUGGGUCUUUUUCCACCCUUUUUAACCCCUAAUUCCAUCAACUUAAAAAACAUAACCCCUCACUCAUCCUUAAAAUCAAAAUUAGGGCUUCUUUCAAGAUCAUUCACCAAGAACAAGAUUCAAACCCUUCUUCAAGAAACUAAGAAAUUCAAGUUCUUCAAGUUCAAGAAACAUCAAGAAAACAUCAAGAUUUAUGAUUCCCAAUCCAAGAACGUUCAAGAAAAGUUAAUUCUCUUUCAAGAAUAAUUCUUUAAGGUAUGUUAAAUGUUCAUCCAUGGAUCCUUUUCACCCAUGGAUCCCAAGAACCCAACUUCAAAUUCAAAGUUAUGAUUUUUACAAAUUAUGGGGAUUUUAACCAUGAGUCGCCUUGAAUUUUGAUUCUAUAACAUGUUCCCCAAACAUUAGAAUGGUGUUGUUCACUGAAUUAAACCCUAAUUGGUGAUUUUAGUAGGAAAACCAUGCUAUUACUAUAAGUUUUAAAACUAUUCCCAUACUUAUCUUAAACCAUGAAUUACAAGUGUUUGAUGAAAUGCCCAAAAAAAGGAGUUUUGAAUAAAUGCUUACAUAUCAUGUCCUCAAAGUUUUAGUACAAUCCUUCUAUUAUUAUUAUCGAGUCCUGGGGGUUUAAAUACCCAAAAUUUAGUCGCUUACCUAGUUUUCAAUAUUUAUAGAAUGGUUACAGAAUUUAAAUAGUUAAGCAUAGUCAGCCAAAUAUUUUGGGUCUUUCAGUUGGGAGUAGGAUUUAGCAUCGAGCAAAUGUAGGUAUAACGGCUUCCCCAUCAGUUAGGCAGAGUCAUUAGUAGCAGUCCUUGCAUUCCAGAACUAUGUAGCCGGCGUAGGAUAUGAGGAGUCACCCAUCAAUUUAGGCUUGAUUUUGCCCAGGUGUCACCCAUCAAUUUAUGCUUGACAUCCUAGUUUUUCAGUAGCUUAGUGGAUCCACUCAGCCAUGAGUUAGUACCCGUGGCACGAUAUUGGCACCCUUCCAAUUGGGGUCACAGUUUGGACCCCAAUUUGCUCAUUGGGGCAUGUCGGUUAGAUGAUAGCUCCCAUAGUCUCAGUCCAAUAUUCAGCCCAAUAAUUUAGUUUCAAGUUUGCUUGAACUUAGCAUACAAAUAUAAGUCAUUUGUUUAUCAGUAUUCAGUAUUUUAGUUAACUUAUUAUAUUUAGAACAUGUUUUAUGCUUGGUUAUGCAUUCUCAGUCUUUACCGAUUUUAUGCAUUAUAUUUAGUACUUCAUGAUAUACAUUCAAUCAUCUAUUACUUGUGCACAUAAAACCAUGUAUAUUAGCCUAACCUCAUUUAGCAUACCAGUAUAUUCAAAGUACUGAUCGCAUACUCUUUUCUUAUGCAAUGAUGUUUAAUAUCAUAG
rnacentral:lncRNA from 1 species